rnacentral:rRNA from 1 species
CAGGGAUUGCCCUAGUAACGGCGAGUGAAGCGGCAACAGCUCAAAUUUGAAAUCUGGCCCUCGGGUCCGAAUUGUAAUUUGUAGAGGAUGUUUUUGGUGCGGUAUCUUCCGAGUUCCUUGGAACAGGACGCCUUAGAGGGUGAGAGCCCCGUACGGUUGAAUGCCUAGCCUUUGUAAAACUCCUUCGACGAGUCGAGUAGUUUGGGAAUGCUGCUCUAAAUGGGAGGUAAAUUUCUUCUAAAGCUAAAUACCGGCCAGAGACCGAUAGCGCACAAGUAGAGUGAUCGAAAGAUGAAAAGCACUUUGAAAAGAGGGUUAAAUAGCACGUGAAAUUGUUGAAAGGGAAGGAUUUAUGACCAGACUUUUUCUAGGCGAAUCAUCCGGUGUUCUCACCGGUGCACUUCGUUUAGUUUAGGCCAGCAUCGAUUUUCGGGGUGGGAUAAAAGCUUCAGGAAUGUGGCUCCCUCGGGAGUGUUAUAGCCUGUUGCAUAAUACCGCCCUGGGGAUCGAGGUACGCGCUUCUGCAAGGAUGCUGGCGUAAUGGUUAUCAAUCACCCGUCUUGAAACACGGACCAAGGAGUCGAACAUUUGUGCAAGUGUUUGGGUGUUAAACCCUCACGCGUAAUGAAAGUGAACGGAGGUGAGAGCCCUUACGGGUGCAUCAUCGACCGAUCCUGAUGUCUUCGGAUGGAUUUGAGUAAGAGCAUAACUGUUCGGACCCGAAAGAUGGUGAACUAUGCGUGGAUAGGGUGAAGCCAGAGGAAACUCUGGUGGAGGCUCGCAGCGGUUCUGACGUGCAAAUCGAUCGUCAAAUCUGCGCAUGGGG